rnacentral:lncRNA from 1 species
AUGUCCCCCACCCCACACCACCAGGCACCCAUUGAGUUCCCCGGCCCGUUCCCUCUCUGGACAUUAUGUUGCCCCAUUCUGUCUGAGAACCUCCUUCCCGUGGUGUGUGGCACCCGAAGGCCCUCCUCCAUGGCUGUCACACAGGUUGAAUCCAGUCUCAGAGGGAACCAGUUUGGUUGGAAGUUCAUUUCUCACAGUUCUGGAGGCUGGGCAUCUGCUUGGCAACAGUGUCCUGCUGGUGAUUCUGCCAUUGGAGCCCAGGGAGAAGCCCUGAGGAAGAGAGCAGAUGCCAGUCUGCAGGAGCAAGCAGGGUAGAGAAGGAAGCAUCUGGUCAGCCAUGGGGAAACAUCCAGGUGAGUGUUCCCCAGGACGGCUGGCCGAGCAUUGUCUGGUGUGAUGUCACUCGGGGAUGCUGGCCCCACAAAUUGUCCACCUGCUCCCUCAUGAGCCAGUAUUUUCUCUCAGUCAUUCACCAUGGCUCUGUGGACUGUAGCUUUCCAGGUGGCUCCUCCAGGAAGAGAUACAAGAACAAGAGAGCAAGAGAGGAUCGUGGCAAGUGGCAAGGAGCCUCUGGACCAUGAUCAAGGGCCAACCCCACUGAAGUGCAAGGUGAAGGAAAGGAGAUGUGGAGGGGAUCUGGAGUGCAGAGCAGCUCUGAGGAAUAAGGUCUCUGCCACAGAGGGUCCAUGGAGGGUCCAUGCUGGAGGAUGUGGCCAGUGUGCCCAGUCAUUGUCUGUGUGCCAUUCAGGCAUCAGGGCUCACAGGUAAUGCCAUCCCCUGGGGACAAACAGUGCAGAUUUUCAGCUCACCACUGUUCUCACAGCUGGUCACCAAUCCUUUUCUGAAGGGGAUCUGAGUAGACAUUCCUGAGUAGCCCCAGAUCCACGGCAGUCACCUUUGAAGAAAAAGGAGAGGACACAUGGGAAGCAUCUCAUGGAGGGCCACCAGGGAGAGAGGGAAGCCGAGGCAGGAGGAAGCCAUGAGCUGGCCAUGACAUGUUGUCCCCCACCUGGACUGAAAUCUUGGGUGUGGUGAGGUCUUAAAUUGGGAAAACCAAAACCUUGAAACCCUGGUUGGAGAGCACACAGAGGGUGGCCCUGACUCCCCACAGGGUGGCCACGGUUGAGUGGUGCCAGCACAAUGGACUGAUUCGGCUGGAAGGAGGCCUUGCUCAUACUCCAGGCCCCAUAGGGCAGAACCACCGUGGUGGGAAACACACCCUCCCAAGGCCCAGACCUCCCCCAAACUGGGUAGCAGCCAGAACUCAGGCUCUGUUCAGUCAGGGAGGGGAGCCCCUCAGCCAUCUUAGCCGGCAGACAGACACAUACCCAUGGGCUGUGGACUUGGUCAACAGACACAAGCCUGGGGCCACUCCAGCAGAGUCUAGCAGUAAUCCAGAGGACCAUGCUCCUCUCUGCACCACAGGGCCCCUAAAGCCAAAACCAUCCUUGGUUGCCAUCUUGAGCCAACACAGGAGGAUUAGAGCCAUCCUAAGAGAGGGGAACUUUGGUUCCACUGAUGUUUACCUGACUUGAAAUUGAGUGAGAAUGGAAGAAACUGAGAUGUUCUUAAAAAACAAGAGUGAGUUCUCUGGCCUCAACUCACUUCUAUUCACUGUCAGCUCCUCGAAAGACCUCAGAAGAAAUUCUUGACGGAACAAAACUAGCUAAUUGUUCUGCUGGAGUUUGAAGGGAGCCCACCUUGG